CUCCAAUUGACGAGUCCCAAACAGGACGAUACGCGCGUCAAACUGGAU
rnacentral:hammerhead_ribozyme from 1 species